AGCGAAUAGAUACCCUGGUAGUCCACGCCGUAAACUAUGCACACAAGCUGUAGUGGGAUUUUAACUCCUGCUGUGGCGAAGCUAACGCAAUUAGUGUGCCGCCUGGGGAGUACGGUCGCAAGACUAAAACUCAAAGGAAUUGACGGGGGCCCGCACAAGCGGUGGAUUAUGUGGUUUAAUUCGAAGCAACGCGCAGAACCUUACCUAGGCUUGACAUCCCACGACAACCGUGGAAAUACGGCUUUGUAGCAAUACACGUGGAGACAGGUGCUGCAUGGCUGUCGUCAGCUCGUGUUGUGAAGUGUUGGGUUAAAGUCCCGCAACGAGCGCAACCCCUGGAUUUAGUUGCCAGCAUUAAGUUGGGUCACUCUAAAUUAACUGCCAGCGUUAAGCUGGAGGAAGGUGGGGAUGACGUCAAGUCCUCAUGGCCCUUACGGCCUAGGGCUACACACGUAAUACAAUGGACAGGACAAA
rnacentral:rRNA from 1 species